GAGGAAGAACGUAGCGAAAUGCGAUAAGUAAUGUGAAUUGCAGAAUUCAGUGAAUCAUCGAAUCUUUGAACGCACCUUGCGCCCUUUGGCUAUUCCGAAGGGCAUGCCUGUUUGAGUAUCGUGAACACCUCAACUCUCAUGGUUUGCCAUGAUGAGCUUGGACUUUGGGGGUUUUGCUGGCCUUUGGUCGGCUCCUCUCAAACGGAUCAGCUUUCCAGUGUUUGGUGGCGUCACGGGUGUGAUAACUAUCUACGCCUGUGGUUUUCUGCCAGAUAACCUUCAGCGAUGGAGGUUCGCUGGGGCUCAUAAAUGUCUCUCUUCAGUGGAGACAGCUUUUUGGACGUUUGAUCUCAAAUCAGGUAGGACUACCCGCUGAACUUAAGCAUAUCAAUAAGCGGAGGA
rnacentral:misc_RNA from 1 species